GGGACUGUCAGGUUUCUACAUGUUGAUAUCUUUCCUGAAGGAUAAGAAAAAAUAAUUCAAGUGUAACACACUUAAUUAGAAUUACAAUAAAUGCAAAAAGCCAAAUUAUUCCUUUUUCUCAAAGACUAGUAAUAGCUUAAAUUAUUUGUUCAAAGAUUGUUAGUAUUUACUAUAUUUUUUGAGUAUCAACUGUUGCACUUAUACAAUUUAGUUGAUGAUCUUACGAAUAUGUUGCUCUUGACACAGUAGAAAGUUAAAUAUAUUGUUUCAAGUAAAGUUAAGUAUGAAAGUAUGCUAUAUGUUUUUCUGUAUCUAUGAAAUAGAUACCUUCUGGUUAUUUCUAUUAACAUGGACGUGGGUUCAAAUCCCACCAGUUCCA
rnacentral:tmRNA from 1 species